UUCAGUUAGGAUUUGCACCGCCGCCGUUUAGGCCGUGUCUCGUACCGGCGCUGACCACCAUGGCAAUGCCCCAUACACUUUUGCUAGCCUAAAUCCAGCGCAACCUUAGGGAUCUCGCGCGCCUGCCGAUUCCUUCGCUCAGAUCCGGUCAGUUUCAUGGGAGCCGAGAGCCCGAGACCGACCUGUCCUCGCCGUCGCUGGAGCCGGGGACCCUAGGCAACGAAGAUCAGGGAGGCAGAUGUUCCAGUCAAUGAUGUGCAUGCUUUCAGCAUCGGGAAAACAACAUUCAAAUGUGGAAUAUGUUGGCUCCAGGUACGGGUUGGCCCUCACACGACAUGCAAAACGACCAGAUGGCCGGGCCUACAGAUUCCGGAGCAGAAACAUGAUCAUCUUUUUAUUGUUCUAGCUGUGAACAUUAGGGGAAUCAUGUGUGCUAGCAGUUGACAUGAGUAAUGUAAUACUACAGGCAAUAUGUGCCUUUUAGGUUUAGGAGUAACACCCUGUUGAGUUUAGCACAUCAGAACUAUAAUUGUUGUUACAUAUAUGUGCAAUUUCCUGGCCAGCUUGCAUUGUGUUUUGUCAAUCUCAAUGAUUGUACUACUGUUGUUUGGUUUACUAGACAACAACAUGCUUUC